UUAAGUUCAGCGGGUAUCCUCACCUGAUCCGAGGUCAAACUUUGGGAUAUUGUUACCUGGCGGGCACCGCCGCGGACUCCUGAAGCGAAAUUUUUGCUACGCUUGAAGCCGGACUGCACCGCCAACGGGUUACGGACGGGUCACUCGACCGCGUCCAAGACCAAGCUGGGCUUGAUGGUUUAAAUGACGCUCGAACAGGC
rnacentral:misc_RNA from 1 species